AAGGACUGUUUCUAGCAACACCAAGAGCACUGGGACCCUAUCAAGCAAAAGCAUCACAUCUGUCUUCACACAACCCCUGCUCUGCUCUGACCUGGGAUGGACGACGCAGGACACCGGAACCACUACACUCGCAUUUCCAGACCCCACCUCAGGUUAAAAUCAAAUCUAAAAAUCUCAGCCUUCACCUGACCUCUCUGAGAUGCUUCCUCUCUGUACCUUCCUAAGUGCACUGCAUUAAUUAACUUGUAACUUUUGUAUAUUUCUUGGUUAUGGGUAAAAUCUCUUUACCACUGGUGCCACCAGCCUCUCACACACCAUACCUCCCACAGGGCACUAACGACUUAGGGAGACUCAGUCUCUCAAAAAAAAAAAAAAAAAAAAAAAGAUACUAAAAAUGUAUUUAUCAGACCCCAGUGCUACUGACAUUUGGGGCUGGAUCCUUGUUAGUUUGUUAGGGGGACUAACUAUCCUGUAGGACAGAGGUAGGAUAUUUUGCAGUGCCUCUUGCCAUUACCCUAGAGAUUUUUCAGUUGUCUCUGUGUGGCUUUUUGUUUGUUUGUUUGUUUGUUUGUUUGUUUUUUGAGACAGGGUCUCACUAUAUAGUUGAGACUGACCUGGAACUCUCACUAUGUAGUCCAGGCUGGUUCUCGAACUCACAGCGAUCCUCCUGCCUCAGCCUCCAGAGCUGGGAUUAUAGGUGUGCGCCACCACACCCGGCUUUUUAGUUGUCUCUGUACAUCACCAGAUAUCCCUGGCUGGCAACAUUGCCUCCUGUUAAGGACAAGUCCCCCUCUGUGACAUUCUCCCACGGGGCAACCUGACAAUUGGAUUGUUCAGUCAGAACAAACCCAAACUCAGUCUGCUUCUGCGAGCUUCUCUGCCUGCGUGCCUCAGUCUCGCCUCUGACUUGGCGGAGUGGGCUCCAAGCCAUCUCGAGGGCCCUGCCUGCCCUGGGCUUGCUUCCCCCAUGCCCUGCUCACGAAAGAGGCCCCAAGGCCAGGUCAAUGUGCCCGGCGCCCACGCCUGCCACAGCCCACCAAGCUCCUCCACGGCUUCUAGUCAAGAACCACACCCUUCCACAGGAGAAGCAGACGUAAAAUAUGAGGGAAAUAGGUGUGCACUGUCUCCCAGAAGAGCUCCGAAGGCAGAGGAAGGGACAAGAGGCAUCGCAGCCACGAAACACCAGCAGAUUUUAAAGUCCUCCCAAGUAUCCAUAUCCUAUCACAGCAAUUACAGGAGAACAUGGAAGAUGGUCGGGGAGAAAGGAGCACAAGGAGCUCCAGCCUCCCUGACCGGAAUGAUUUCUUCUGGGGAAUUUGUCCCCCGUGGGCAGCCUGGACAUUCAGCCCUCCCCACAGUCCAUGAGCCCUGUGUGCGAAGGGCCCUGAAACAGACUUGAAAGCAGAUCUUGUCCGACACCACCUAACCUUCUUCAUGGGUCCAGGCUGUGAGUCUGGGAAAGACAGGCGUGGUGUGGCUGGUGCCAAGCAGCCCCAAAAAGCCAUGGCCCCUGGAAGGCCUGGCCAGCUGCCUUCCGGGGCCCGCACACUGGCAGUUUGUGUGUGUGUGUGAUUGUGUGUGCUGUGUGUGUGGCAGCACCAUGCCCCUCCCAGGCUGAGUUUCACCACCUCUGGGGCUGCACCAUCCUGAGAAAGCUGGACUCCUGUGCGGAAGUUUCUUUCCAAGUCUGCUGUGUGGGCGGCAAGGAGACAUACAGUUUCCUUUGUUGUUUGUUCUUCCUGUGUGGGGACAGAAGCUCUUUCAGCUGCUGUGGAAUGUGCCCGAGGUUUCAUGCAAAGGUCUGUGGGCCUGGCUGGGAAUCCAGCAGAUCAAAAGGAAUGGGGUCCCCCUUCAGCCCAUGCCCCUGAGGUCCGCUUACCACCCCACCAGGCCUCAGUGGUAUCAUCCCCACUUUGCUGCCUAGGGAUUGCUCUUCAGAGGGAAGGCUUGAAGGGACAGCUUGAGAAGGAAGGAGGACACUCUGUCCCUACAGCUGCCCUUGCAGCUGAGCCGAGCACGCCUCAACCAGCAGGGUUUACCUGUCAUCUAGAGUUUCAGCAAAACAAAAAGCACAACUUCAGCGGGUGGGGGGGGGGCAAAAUAAAAAACUCAGCCACCACAAAACCCUGGAGUAGACUUUCCUCUUUGCUUAUUUCCACGUCUGGGGGUUUCCACGUGGCCAGAGCCUCACCCUGAGAAACCUGUCGCUACAAGGCUGAACUUCUCCUAGGUGGCUGUUGUCUGCUUUCUUCCAAUCAGGGUCCAGCAACUUUUCAGUCUCUGAAUCGAAACACAGUAUUGAACUUUGCUCUAGUUUCAAAAUGUCAAUGAGCCAGCGCCAAGGGGAAGUGCCCAAGAGGAGAUGGCAGUCAGCACCCCUAGCCCAAGCUGUUCUCUGGGCAGAGGAGAGAGGGAGGGUGAGCGAGGGACUAACCCAGGCCGCGGAGAGCGUGUGAGAGGCCAGCACAGGUGUUGUACAAUCUCGCCAUCUUACAAGCCAGGGAAGAAGAAAG
ensembl:lincRNA